CUAUCUAUCUUGAAUUCAUGGCCUUCACUUAAUAAAAAGUUUGGUCUGGAGAAUCCUUGAACUUGAAAGGGGCUGUGAUGGCAUUUGGAACGCACAGAAAACAGUUGCUUGAUCUUUACUAGGAUGGUGAUU